GAGAGAUGGGGGGUUUGGGGAGGGUGUUUGUGGUGGAGAAGUGGUGACGGUGGGGUGUUUCGAGCAUGGUUUGGGUUGGGAGUGUGUGUUACAUGGCUUUGGGAGACUGAGGAGGGGAGUGGAAAGAUAAGGUGGGUUUAGAGAUUGGGUUGCAGCGGAGCAACGUUCUAUCUGGAAAUCUUCCCACUUUAUUUUAUGUGUGUCAAG
rnacentral:lncRNA from 1 species